ACCAAGAGCCAUUAGAGUUCUUUUGAGCACUUUCAUGAUCACUGUAAUUAGAUGAAAUGGCCAUAAAAGAGAGAAACACAAGAGACAAAGAAACACAGGGAAGGGAGCUGUCGCCUUAUCUGGUGAAGAAGACUGAUGGUCCGAUUUGUCAGCCAUAUUGCAGGCUAAUCCAUGUGACUCUUUGGUGAUGGUAUGUAUAGUUACAAUGAUGUCUGCAAUGCUUAGUGAAACGUUUAACUGGAAUGUAAUAAAAUCCUUUCACGAUAUAAUUGGCUUUCCUCUCAACUAUUGUUCUUAAGUUCAAAUAUUUACACACCUCUGAAACUACAAAACUACAUAUACCAUACCCAUCCACAUAUAAUCUAGUGAUAAAAAAAUUAGAUAGAUGAAAGUUCACAAUGAAUUCGUUUAUUUUUUUUUCCCCUGAGUUUAUUGAAAUAGGAAGGCAUGAGUUCAAAUUCUAUUUAGAAUAUCCUAAGAUAAUUAAAGAAAGGAGCCUACAUCAACUUAUACUUUAUCUAAGUCACCUUGAAGUGACUCUGAUGUUUCACCUGAAGCUGCAUUUUUGGAAUUCAAGGGGCUUGUAAAAUCUCUAAAUGAUAUACAACUUAUUGCAGCUUUAUGUCCCCUUAAAAUUUUUAUUUUGACAUGGUCAAGCAAUCUUAGAGUAUAUUUAUCAUCUUCUUCUCUAGUUCUAAAUAUGGAGUGGCCUGUGGAAUUUGACCUAAAAAAUCUUUCCACUCCUUCACGUUUCUUGUGAUGUUCUUUUGUGGUUGAAGAGCUUUGAGCUUCAUCAGCUUUCUCCUUGUUAUCUUCUUUAAUCUCAAUGCAAACAGCAUUUUGUAGAGGACUUUGAUUUGCCCCAAUUUCAUGCAUGGAAUUACUCUGAAGCAGUACAGGAGAUUUCUCUAACGAUUUCCUAGGCACGUCUAGCUCGCCACGACAAACCGGGCAUGUUUUAUUCGAUUCAAGCCAAAGAUCAACACAUUCUUUAUGGAAAACAUGGAAACAAAUCGUCAAAAGUCGAAGCAUA
rnacentral:lncRNA from 1 species